GCCAAACCAAUAUGUUUCUCGUUACGUUCAAAAACAAAACUGUGUCAACCAAACUGUAUUUAGAAUAAUAUAUUAUAAUAUACUUACCCGCCACCAGUCGAUUCAAAGGCGAAAUUUUCGGAAAUUUAUAAUAUUAUUAACAACAAUACGUAUUCGACGACAUUUUUGUCGUCGUUAGUUACACUCGAGUUACAGGUAAAUUAGUUGUCC